CGAACGCUGGCGGCAUGCUUCAGACAUGCAAGUCGAACGAGAUCUUCGGAUCUAGUGGCGCACGGGUGAGUAACGCGUGGGAACCUGCCAUUCUGUACGGAAUAACGUUUGGAAACGAACGCUAAUACCGUAUACGCCCUGUGGGGGAAAGGUCCGCCGCAGAAUGAGGGGCUCGCGUCCGAUUAGCUUGUUGGUGGGGUAAUGGCCUACCAAGGCGACGAUCGGUAGCUGGUCUGAGAGGAUGAUCAGCCACACUGGGACUGAGACACGGCCCAGACUCCUACGGGAGGCAGCAGUCGGGAAUAUUGGACAAUGGGGGCAACCCUGAUCCAGCAAUGCCGCGUGUGUGAAGAAGGCCUUAGGGUUGUAAAGC
rnacentral:rRNA from 1 species